GACGAACGCUGGCGGCGUGCCUAAUACAUGCAAGUUGAGCGCUGAAGGUUGGUACUUGUACCAACUGGAUGAGCAGCGAACGGGUGAGUAACGCGUGGGGAAUCUGCCUUUGAGCGGGGGACAACAUUUGGAAACGAAUGCUAAUACCGCAUAAAAACUUUAAACACAAGUUUUAAGUUUGAAAGAUGCAAUUGCAUCACUUAAAGAUGAUCCCGCGUGGUAUUAGCUAGUUGGUGAGGUAAAGGCUCACCAAGGCGAUGAUACAUAGCCGACCUGAGAGGGUGAUCGGCCACAUUGGGACUGAGACACGGGCCAAACUCCUACGGGAGGCAGCAGUAGGGAAUCUUCGGCAAUGGACGAAAGUCUGACCGAGCAACGCCGCGUGAGUGAAGAAGGUUUUCGGAUCGUAAAACUCUGUUGGUAGAGAAGAACGUUGGUGACAGUGGAAAGCUCAUCAAGUGACGGUAACUACCCAGAAAGGGACGGCUAACUACGUG
rnacentral:rRNA from 1 species